rnacentral:pre_miRNA from 1 species
GGUUGGUUUUCUACCCUGUAGCACCGAGCUGUGUCUGAGUCUUGAUACAUACACGAUCGGUUACCGGGUGCAUGACCAACUUA